rnacentral:rRNA from 1 species
CCUACGGGAGGCAGCAGUGAGGAAUAUUGGUCAAUGGUCGGGAGACUGAACCAGCCAAGCCGCGUGAGGGAGGAAGGUACAGAGUAUCGUAAACCUCUUUUGUCAGGGGACAAAGACUGGGACGCGUCCCCGACUGAGUGUACCUGAAGAAAAAGCAUCGGCUAACUCCGUGCCAGCAGCCGCGGUAAUACGGAGGAUGCGAGCGUUAUCCGGAUUUAUUGGGUUUAAAGGGUGCGCAGGCGGUCUGUUAAGUCAGCGGUAAAAGCCCGGGGCUCAACCCCGGCGCGCCGUUGAAACUGGCAGUCUCGAGUUGGAGAGAGGUAUGCGGAAUGCGCGGUGUAGCGGUGAAAUGCAUAGAUAUCGCGCAGAACUCCGAUUGCGAAGGCAGCAUGCCGGCGCCACACUGACGCUGAGGCACGAAAGCGUGGGUAUCGAACAGGAUUAGAUACCCGAGUAGUC